rnacentral:sRNA from 12 species
GGGAGGAGGCGUCUAUGCAUCGAAGAUGCAUAUUGGAAUGACGCCGACGAAAUGUCGCCGAGAGGAGGUGUCUAUGCAUCGA